UACGUAGGGGGCGAGCGUUGUCCGGAGUUACUGGGCGUAAAGGGCACGCAGGCGGUCAUGUAAGUCUGUUCUGACAGCUCCUGGCUCAACCGGGAGAGGCGAACGGAAACUGCAUGACUUGAGGACUUCAGAGGGACACGGAAUUCCGGGUGGAGUGGUGAAAUGCGUAGAGAUCCGGAGGAACACCAAAGGCGAAGGCAGUGUCCUGGGAAGUACCUGACGCUCAGGUGCGAAAGCCAGGGGAGCGAACGGG
rnacentral:rRNA from 1 species